rnacentral:rRNA from 1 species
UACAGAGGUCUCAAGCGUUGUUCGGAUUCAUUGGGCGUAAAGCGUGCGUAGGUGGUGAGUUAAGUCUGUCGUGAAAGCCCCGGGACCUCACCUGGGAAUGGCGAUGGAUACUGGCUCGCUAGAGUGCGGUAGAGGAGAGUGGAAUUCCCGGUGUAGCAGUGAAAUGCGUAGAGAUCGGGAGGAACAUCAGUUGCGAAGGCGGCUCUCUGGACCAGCACUGACACUGAGGCACGAAAGCGUGGGGAGCAAACAGG